ACAUUACAAUGCGUUUAUCGGUUUUGUGGCAAACGGUUUUUUGGGGGGGCUAGAGUUUUGUUUUUCUUAUGCUAUCUUAUUUGGGGUCGGGGCGGUUUUAGACGACAGAUGCAUGAAAAGGUGAUAAGAAAGUGAAACAAUGCGUAUUAGCUUAAGGCUUAGCUUCUUUGGAUUAGCAAAAACAAACACUAGGACGCGGACAAACGGCACAAGUUGUUAGGCCCAAUCUUGGGCGGGGACGCGCAACGCAUAAUGAUUCUAGGAUUUGGUCACUUUUGGACAUUCAGCGCUGAAGCAAACCGUGGUUAGUGGUGUCAGUCAGUUUUAUCCUCCCAACAUUUUUAGUAACAACAUCAGCUCGACGAGACAGGUGAGAUUCGGGGACAUCUGCUUUUAGUGUGGAGGAAGGUUGUUAGUGUGAGGAGAGAGGACAGAUAAAAAUAGAAGCAUACAAAGUUUAAGAAGGGUAGACUAUUAAUAACAGCAACGGUCAAGCAAAAUGAAGAAUUCUAAAGAUGCAUUCGGAUUGGGAGAAUACCUAUGAGUUCCAAAAAUAAUCACAACUAUAAAUACGAUAAACUUCAUAACAAGUACAUAAAGUGAAGCGUGCCAAAGACAGGAAUGUUAUAUAAACCACUCCAGCUGCUAUCGUGAAUCAUCCCUUCCCAGCAGAGGGUGAUCCACGCAGAAUAAACGGUGAAGUGUGACUAAUUCUAGGAACUUUGAUGACUCAUUGAAAAUCCCAAACUCUGUGGCGUAAUUAACUGGCCUUUUGUAAAGACAAGGCCAUUAUUUCCUAUGUUUAAACAAAACAUAACUCUGUGACGGGAAUAGAUCGGAAAACUUAUUGCGACGAAUAUGGGUAAAUUAAUGUUCUAAAAAGUAUAAUUCAAAAAAGGGAUGGCAACCCUAUUCAACAACUCUGUUCAACCCAAGUUGAACCUAAAGCAAAGUGACAGCAGUCGUCAUUGUUGUCUAAUAAGAGCCUAAGGUUUGUACGGGACUUCGGGUAAUCGAAACACGAACAAAAAAAUGUUUUCGUUUUUUUUUUACUUUUAAUAUCAAAUUCGAGUUCUGCGAUCCCAUUUUAGUCAAAUUUAAAUGGUUGGUUGCGUAUUCAAUUGAAAAUUGAUUUUUUUUUUUUCAAUAUUUCAUCAUCGCCAUUUUGGUCGCCAUCUUGGAUUUAAAAAUUCUAAAUCACCUUUUUCCGAAAGUGAAAUUUUGCCAAGGCCUUUAAAUAAUCGAGGCUGGACUAUACUAGUUUUCAGCAAGGGAUGGAAAAAUUACUGAUCUGCAUAAAAUAAAUCUUGAAAUUUUCAAGACUAUUCAGGUGAACACCGAUAAUAAAUGGACGAAAAAGUCUCUUGAUUACAUAUUUAACUGUUUGUAUACAGGACAGCGAAUUAUUGAAUCAUUCUCUGGACUACACAUUAUUUUGCAACUCAAAACUAGUUAAACAAACAAAAAAAAUGACUGUUUUAAAUUGUCUUUUCCUGAUCCGUUUGCACCUACGUCAAAAAUCGAGAUUGUUUACUUUUUACCCUUUGUUCUGACAGCCUUGGUCUGACAGCUCUAUCAUGUUGGAUGUUGGUCUGGACAAGGCGAGAUAUAGGACACAGCUCCCGCUUGGAUUGGAACCGGAAUCGAAUGAUCGAAUGAAACCGAGCAAUUAACAUUUCUAGAGUGUUUUUUUUUUGUUGAUGUUUUUAAAAACCGUCUACAAAUACUCGAAAAGCGAAAAAAAAUAGAAAAGAAAAUAACUUGACUCUUAAAAAAACAUUUUUAUUUUGUCUGAUGCGCCAAGCAGGAGAAAUAUCCGCUAUUAAAUCAACAUUUUUAGAUGAAUCAACAAUGGAGAGUUGCUUGCUCACUUAUAUUUAUACUUUGUAACAGUCAAAAAUACUUUAUAAAAGCGAUAAUUGAAAUAGGCUGAGAAAUGGUACAUUUCCCUCAUUUUUUUUUUCGACUGUAUUAUGUACCAGUUAACGUCAAAAAACACCAAAUUGCUGCCGGAUCUUUCCGGAAGAAAUCCAAAAAAAGAUCCGGCAACAAGUUUGUGCCGGUUUGACGUUUGCUGAGGGUGCCGAAAAGUUUGGUUUUAUUACUGCUUGCCAAAAACAACAGGCUCUACUCAAUACAGAUCGAAUUCGUUAAUUCAAAUGAACGACUGACAGCUGUCAAAAGCACGAAACCACUUGCUCGGAAAUCGAAGAACAAAGGGGUUGAAAUGUAAACAUUAUUUUGCCUACUCAGUUUUAAGGUUUAAGUGCCUUUCGAAAUAAUGCAAUUCGAUAAGUAAUGCAUUGCUGCCAUAUUGGCCGCCAUCUUUGAUUAUAUGUUCCCAUCCGUUCCCAUCACAUCACUUUAAAGCGAUUUUAAAUUGAAAUUUGAGUUUAACCGUUAAGCGUAAAAAACAUUUGUUUUAAUUGAAUCUGAACCGUGUAAGAAAGAUUUCCCAGUAUUAAAUUUAAAUAAAUUUACAAAAGUUCGUAUUAAAAAGUGGGUAAACGAAGUCAGAUUUUUGUUUAGGGUGUAAUGAUUGUCAAUGGUGGUUUUGGAUAAAGAGUCCAGAAAUAGUUAAGAGGCAGUUUUUGUAGAUUUGUGUGUGUGUUUUUUUUAAUUAUUGAUGUGAAAUUGACCCCAAAAAGUUCCAUCAUGUAGGCCUUCUGGAUUUUUUGUUAUUUGAGUGUUGAACUUCUGAUCGAAAAUUCAUUUUUCCCCUCCAAAACUCCAUCGGAGCUCAAAGUUAAAAUAAAUAUUAACAUAACCCGAAGUGUAUUUGCAAAAAAAAAAAAGAAAUCCGAUUAGCCAGAAUUCUACAUCUACAAACAAGAAAAAGGUGGCCAAACACACCCCCCGCCACACAAACAUCCACCCACACAAACGCAUCGUUGAUUUGCGGGGUAGCCUUGGUAGAUAUCGGGCCCACAAUCCUAACUUGCGGCGGCAUCAUCCCGAACAACCGAAGCAGGCGACGCCAGGAUGAUAGCGAGAACAACCAGAACUGGCAGCAUGUUGUCUUGGCGUCGCCAUAGUAACCCGAUAUCGAUUUUCAUCCCCUAACCGCUCCCCCUGCCCAGGGAGCUCGGAGUGCUGCGAUCUAUGAUUAGUCUGGUCGUGUUUUUUUUUCUGUGUGUACUUUUUUCUCACAGCUGGCCUUGCCACCUCCGUCGUCACCGCUUGCCUAGUUUUACGGAAUUAAUCUUUUUUCGACAGCUCUUCAAAGUCAUGGAGAGUGACUCAGUCGAAAGUUUGUUUUUUUUUUCUCUCUUUGGUUGCUUCGAUUUCUGCUGCAGCGUGUGUCAUUGGCAACUGUCAGUGUGCGAGACUAUCGGAGGGCUCGCGUAAAUUUUUAAGUUUGUUUUAAAACUUAAGAUAAGGAGAAAAAAAAACUUUACAAAUUGCAACCAUCAAACAUAAGCCUGACUUGGCACUCGAGUUCCUCGCACAGGAAGCGACUUAGUUCAGACUAGGCUGGAGUCUCGACGCCGCACAACAACCUUCGAUGACGUCAGACAUCAGCGAUUACUGGCGGCGGCGGCGUCGGCGUCAUUUUCGUUCGUCUGAUGUUUGUAGUUGUAGCUAGUCCCGGGGUCACCCGAAGGUUAGCCUACUUAGCACGCGCCGCCGCCAUAGCAGACUAGUUGUAGUGGUAGCAGUGUUGCAAGUGGAAAAUUUUCGCAGGUUCGGAAAAUUUUGACAUUUUGGCCCAAAUCUAGGGUUUUACGCCAUUCUCCAUGUAAACUAAUGUCAAAAACGAAAACAACGAUGGACAGUUUGGUAAAUUAAUAAUCAGUCCCAAUACGUUGCAAAAACAAUGACUUUUAAAACCCGCCGUUAGACAUGACAGUUGGUUUCAUCCCGCCAAACAAAUCGUAGCAAACUGUGGGUUGCGAAGCAAACAACUUGUCAUUUUUCCGGCCUAAAAAAACAUGCAAUAGUUUAUCAGGGAAUUCUGCUGUUCGGAGGCCAACCAGUAUCUAUCGUAAAGUUGAGUUGGGUCUCAGAACUCAAAUUUGAUGUUAAAACGACAAAUUGUGCAGCUGUCCCGCCAAAACUAUCCAUCCACAGCAGAAGUUUCCUGCUUCGCUCCCGUCCCAGGAUGUUCGACCUACUAGCCACACAAGAUAAACAAGGACAGAACAAGCUGCUGCCAAGAUGUGACGAAAAGCAGCUGCCUUGUUUUCAACACCUUUCCAUCGUCCCCGCGGGCAGCAUCAUUCGGCGACCACGUGUAAUCUUCCACCAUCGCAAGUAUUAACUUCUUGGCAGAGAGGGAUAACAAUUUUCGCCCAACGUCGUAAAGUUCUGGGCGUGGGCGGGAUGUUCUCCCCCGCAGAAAUAGAUGAAGCGAACUUGGUAACAAUACCAAUGGUACGGUGCUGGUUUUAGCUGGAAAAAUGUGACCAACGUUUUCAGCAAUAACAAUAAUAGCAAAUUUCAGUCGCAAAAACUGGAGCUCAGUCUGUUUUUUGCGCAAUCAAAAGUUUCCUACACAAUACGUGGUAGUCUCCCACAGACGCCCGAAAUGAAACACGACGCAAUCAUAUGACUAACAUCUACCUACAACAGAGGAGAGACACACACCGAAACCAAUACCACUGUAACCGUCAUAAUUUUAAGCCAACGCGAAAAGAAAAAAAAACAGACACACGAACAAAAUAAA